rnacentral:rRNA from 1 species
AUUGAACGCUGGCGGCAUGCCUUACACAUGCAAGUCGAACGGCAGCAUGGGUGCUUGCACCUGAUGGCGAGUGGCGAACGGGUGAGUAAUGCAUCGGAACGUACCCGGAAGUGGGGGAUAACGUAGCGAAAGUUACGCUAAUACCGCAUAUUCUGUGAGCAGGAAAGCGGGGGAUCGCAAGACCUCGCGCUUCCGGAGCGGCCGAUGUCGGAUUAGCUAGUUGGCGGGGUAAAGGCCCACCAAGGCAACGAUCCGUAGCGGGUCUGAGAGGAUGAUCCGCCACACUGGGACUGAGACACGGCCCAGACUCCUACGGGAGGCAGCAGUGGGGAAUAUUGGACAAUGGGCGCAAGCCUGAUCCAGCCACGCCGCGUGAGUGAUGAAGGCC